AUACGGGGGAUCCGAGCGUUAUCCGGAUUUAUUGGGUUUAAAGGGAGCGUAGGUGGAUUGUUAAGUCAGUUGUGAAAGUUUGCGGCUCAACCGUAAAAUUGCAGUUGAAACUGGCAGUCUUGAGUACAGUAGAGGUGGGCGGAAUUCGUGGUGUAGCGGGGAAAUGCUUAGAUAUCACGAAGAACUCCGAUUGCGAAGGCAGCUCACUAGACUGCAACUGACACUGAUGCUCGAAAGUGUGGGUAUCAAACAGGAUUAGAUACCCUGGUAGUCCACAUAGUAAACGAUGAAUACUCGCUGUUUGCGAUAUACAGUAAGCGGCCAAGCGAAAGCAUUAAGUAUUCCACCUGGGGAGUACGCCGGCAACGGUGAAACUCAAAGGAAUUGGCGGGG
rnacentral:rRNA from 1 species